UCACCCCUCAAGCCCCCGGCUUGGUGUUGGACGGUUUGGCGGAGGCCCCCCGGGGCCCUCUGCCCCUCCCAAAGACAAUGACGGCGGCCUCGUUGGACCCCCGGUACACUGAGUUCUUCACGGGACACGUACUGGAGUAAGGGUGCGCGGGGCACGGUCUGCCUCCCCUCAGGGAGAAUCUUUUAACUACAA
rnacentral:misc_RNA from 2 species